GCCCUGUGGUUCCUGGGCACUGCUCUGCCCAUGCAGUGCCCCAGGGGGUAGCAAUGGGCCAACAGUGACACUGUGAUUUUUGCGUGGAAUCUGUGACCUGUGAGCAGCUUCCACAGCCCGGUCACAGUCACACCC
ensembl:snoRNA